GACGAACGCUGGCGGCGUGCCUAACACAUGCAAGUCGAGCGAAUGAAGUUCCUUCGGGAUUGGAUUUAGCGGCGGACGGGUGAGUAACACGUGGGCAACCUGCCUCAUAGAGGGGAAUAGCCUCCCGAAAGGGAGAUUAAUACCGCAUAAGAUUGUAGUACCGCAUGAUACAGCAAUUAAAGGAGCAAUCCGCUAUGAGAUGGGCCCGCGGCGCAUUAGCUAGUUGGUGAGGUAAUGGCUCACCAAGGCGACGAUGCGUAGCCGACCUGAGAGGGUGAUCGGCCACAUUGGGACUGAGACACGGCCCAGACUCCUACGGGAGGAAGCAGUGGGGAAUAUUGCACAAUGGGGGAAACCCUGAUGCAGCAACGCCGCGUGAGUGAUGACGGCCUUCGGGUUGGAAAGCUCUGUCUUCAGGGACGAUAAUGACGGUACCUGAGGAGGAAGCCACGGCUAACUACGUG
rnacentral:rRNA from 1 species